GCCUGGAUAGCUCAGUUGGUCAGAGCAUCAUCUCAAUAAAUCAAGGUUGCAGGUUCAAUCCCUGGUCAGGGCA
rfam:Myotis davidii contig216273, whole genome shotgun sequence.